GACGAACGCUGGCGGCGUGCCUAAUACAUGCAAGUUGAGCGCUGAAGGUUGGUACUUGUACCAACUGGAUGAGCAGCGAACGGGUGAGUAACGCGUGGGGAAUCUGUCUUUGAGCGGGGGACAACAUUUGGAAACGAAUGCUAAUACCGCAUAAAAACUUUAAACACAAGUUUUAAGUUUGAAAGAUGCAAUUGCAUCACUCAAAGAUGAUCCCGCGUUGUAUUAGCUAGUUGGUGAGGUAAAGGCUCACCAAGGCGAUGAUACAUAGCCGACCUGAGAGGGUUAUCGGCCACUUUGGGACUGGGACACGGCCCAAACCCCUGCGGGAGGCAGCAGUAGGGAAGCUUCGGCAAUGGACGAAAGUCUGACCGAGCAACGCCGCGUGAGUGAAGAAGGUUUUCGGAUCGUAAAACUCGGUUGGUAGAGAAGAACGUUGGUGAGAGUGGAAAGCUCAUCAAGUGACGGUAACUACCCAGAAAGGGACGGCUAACUACGUG
rnacentral:rRNA from 1 species